GUUUUCUUAUGCGGAGGGCCAUCACACAAAGUUCACACUCUUAAAUUCCUAAUUAUAGUCUUAAGCCUUUCUCCCCAAGGUUGCUCACCUGUGCGGUGUAUCUUCGAAGAUCAGGUCCAGUCUCUAACAGAAGUCUCUGAUUAGAGGGACAGGAUCCCGGGGAGACGCUCCAGCCGAAGGCUAGAUCAAGGUGCCGUCUCCAGGUGCACAGAGGAAGAACGGUGCUUGUGGUCUCUUUUUAUAGACUGCUCAGAGGGCGUCAGAGGAUUCUAGUCCUGUGUCUGGUUAUCUUGAAAGUGAUGUCACUGGGUUCUGGUUAUCAGGUAUAGCCUUGGGUGUAGUGGACUUCCUGACGAAGCUCUUUUUGUGUGUCUAAAAGGUGUUUUUUUUUCCUAUGCUCAUUGCAUUUUGCAUAACUUGAUUGUGUCUUUAAAAAUCAGAUAGUAGAUAGUGAAACAUAUUUCACACUUAAUUGCGCUAUGUUUCAGGGCAACUGAUGAGGUAGCCCUGUAGGGUUUUUUUUGUUCUUUUUUCUUUUGCUUUCUGUGUGUAUGCACAUGUGUGUAGGAGUGUUUGUGCAUAUGCAUGUUGGGGCUAAAGGUAAUCUUCAUUUUAGGUCUCUUCCUCUGUUUCUGUCCACCUUAUAUUUUAAGAGGAAGGGUCUCUCAGUGAACUUAGGCUAUUCUACAUGGGCUACACUGGCUUGUCGGUGAACUCCUGGGAUCUGCCUGUCUCUACCAGUAGUCCCCUUAAAACACUAUAUGUGCCCCAUGUUAGCUUUUAUGUAGGUGCUAGGGAAUUGAACUGAGGUCCUCUUGCUUGAGCAACAGACACACUUUACCCCCUGAGACAUCUCCCCAGCCAGACCCUCAAUUUUUAAAUAUUUUCUGUAUUUUAGAUGUUGAAGUAAAUGCUUUUUUCUUAACAAAAUUGUCUACCAUUUUCAACCAGCAAAUACCAGCUUCACUUAUCAAUGAUAUGUACUUGUGCACAUGUCGGUGAAGGUUUUUUUUCUAGGAUUUUAAUUUCAUUGUUUUUAAUUAUGUGUAGGUGUAUAUAUCUACAUAUGGGUAUGUGACAUGAGUUCAAAGGUCAGAGGCUUUGGAUCCCCUGGAGCUGGAAUUGCAGACUUUUCUGAGACACCUGGCAUGUGUGACGGGAACCUAACUCGAGUCUUCCGGAAGAGCAGCAAGUGGACCUCCUUGCUGAGCCCUCUCUCCAGCCACAAUAGUGAAAGGUUUUUACAGCAGCCUGCAGCUAUAUUUCCCAGGCAGAACGGACGCAUCAGUAUCACCCGAUCACUUCAGCGAAUACAUUGCACUAGACCAGUGCAUCCCUAUGACACAGAGCGACACACCAACCCACUCUAUCCUGACCUUUCUUGUAGCCUUAUCUGAAUCCUAUGAAGAAGAAAGGGAAGCACAAAAAGGGAACACUGAAGCCUACGCGAUUUAGAACAAGGUUUUAUGGUGCCAUUAUUCGCUUGCCAAGAGGAGGUACAGUUAGAAAUUCCUGGAAAUUAAGAGACUUCAGAGAAAAAGAAGAAACAAACGAUGUUUUCACCUACCAACUCAAGUUUGCCCAGAACUGAGGAGGCUCCAGAGACUAGUAGUCUCUCAUCGCUAACACUGGAGAAAUUCAAGGUAGAACAGGAAGAGAGAGGUUUGCUGGGUCCAUUAUACAGAUAAAGAACCAGAGGCAAACAGAGUAUCUCAGAAGGAAUUGAAAGGUGAGAGCGGUAAGUAAAGUUUUUUAAAAGAAUCUUUCUAGUGAUCGAGUUCAGGACCUUGUACCCCACUCUUCACUAACCCAACUAGAAGAUACAACUACAGAAUAUAGGUAUUGAGAGAAAAACUUCUAAUGGAGAAAGUUAGAUCGAACUGCUAGUUCUGUUUUUAUAAAUCCAAUUUUUCUCCUUUUAUCCAGUAAAUCUGAGGGAAAUUAUUUGGAAACAUUUCCCAGGCUUAAAAAUGUAAUUUCAUAGAGAAGGGAAAAAUAUAUCUAGUAAAGUAAGUUGCUCUUGGCUCUUUUUAAUUUUAAUAUGUAUCUUUUAUGGUCCAGGAAAGAUGAAUAGCCUAAAAUCCAAGGAUAAAGGGGCCUGGGUUUGGAUAUUAGAUAUUUAUGACAGAUUCUGAGUGGUAACUAUUUAUGUGUUGGGGAGUGUCAGUGUGCCAUUCAAUAUUACUUUGCGAUUUCCAUGGUUAUUGAAAUAGAAUUGAAUUUUUCUGCAUAUCUAGGAGCAGAGUGCUGAGAGGCUAGAGAAGGAAGCUAGACCCUAGCCAGCCUGGGAAAUAAAUGCCCAGUGGAGAAGGGUAUGAAGAUGGGAAGGAGUGAUAAAUGUCAGGGGAGACAAGCAGGAUAAGAAAUUGGAGAUGGAGUGGAGUACUCAAUAGCGGAUGGAGAGGUGAAUAAGCUUCUGAAAGUAAGUCCCCGAGAGGAUUUGCUGCUAUUUUGUAAUUUUUCUAGUUCUCAAGUUAUUGUAUUAAUAACAUCAAGAAGUUUUGUCUAUACAGUUUGACAGCCUUUGCCUUUGGCUGCUGUGUUCAGAGCCAGAAGCUAAUCCUGCAGGGAUGGUGAGAAUCUACCCUUUCCUCUGAAUUAUUUAGACCAUCUGGGAAGACAAAGCAGAAGCAUGUGCAAAACACCCACUAUUUUUGGCAGCACUGCGGGAGAAGACCACUAUGUAGGGGAGACAAGUGGUUGAGGAGAGGUUAGAAAGACAAUGACUAGCCCUAGAGCUAGACGGACAGUUGACUAGCUCCUGAAGAACCCUAUCGUGACCUUGACUCUGAGCUCCUGAGAAUUAUAAUAUUUCUCUCCUCUUCCAUUGGAUUUUCCCAGGCUGAAGGUUUCUAGUUCUUUUACUGGAACAUCAAGGCCCCAAAAGAAGGUCUAGACAAACAUGAGCUCUCUGUCAACUUCUUUAGCCACUUUAGGGCAUCCAGGAUUCCUGUUUAAUACACUGGGGUCACAUUAGCUUUAGGAAGCUCAAGAGAGGGGUAUUAUUGAUGGCACAGAUUUGGGUUUCAGGCCUUAUUCACAUUAAUAAUAAGCCACAGUCCACUUUUAGGCAAGCCACAGUGUCCAGUUUAGGCAUCAAGCAACUAAUAAGUAACUUUGUAAUAACUAUACGGUGGCACACUCUGUUAUAAGCACAUGCCAACCUGCAUAUAAACACGAACAGACAAAAUGUGGGCAGUAGCUGGUUGAAUGGGCACAGGAUAGGAGGUGGGACAGAGGUCAAGCUGAGUAGCUCUGUGGUAACUAGCAAUCUUUGUUACUGGGAUGUCAACACAGGCAUGUUAGGUAGAAAAGGGACUCUAGACUAUUUGAUGACCUGCUGUUCAUUCCUAGGAAGGCAAUGUUAAAAUGCAUCAAAAACUCCUAUGAAUGAUUUUGGUACCUGCAGACAAGUUUCACACAACUAAAGAAGAGGUCAAGAUAGUCUAAAAUGAUAAAGAUAUUAUUUUAGAAAAGGGAUAAUCUGUUUUCUUUCCCUCUGCUAACUCUGUACAUGUUUUCCUGUCCCCACUAUGAGGAAAGAAGUCUUUUAAAAAAAACCAACUUUUUUCAUCAUAAUACCCAAUCCAAAUUCCCAUUCCCUUCCCUCUUCACAUUCCCUCCACCCCAACCCACCCACCUUCCAUCCAUUCCCCAGAGAGGACAAGGAACACCGUGACCCUGGGGAAGGUCUAAGGCCCUCCCCACUAUAUCUAGGCUGAGCAAGGUAUCAAUCCAAAGUAAACAGGCUCCCCAGAAGCCAGCACAAGCAGCAGAGGCAAAUCCUGGUGGCAAUUCCAGUGGCCCCUCAGUCUGCCCCAACCAUGCAACUGUCAACCACAUUCAG